CUGGUUUUCUGCGAAAGUUGUUUUAGCAAAAUGUUUAUUAAUAAUAUUAGUAGGUAUAGCACUGAAUAUCUAAAGUUUAAAGAGGGAGUAUUAUGUGUAUUUAUCUCGGGUAUUUAAUCUCAGAAUGACUAAUAUUAGUAAAUAAAUAAUCGGACUAUUUGCGAUAAGGUAAAUAGUCAAAAGGGAAACAGCCCAGAACAGAGGAUAAAGCUCCCCAAUUAAUAUUAAGUGAGAAUUCCCA
rnacentral:rRNA from 1 species